rnacentral:rRNA from 1 species
UACGUAGGGUGCGAGCGUUGUCCGGAAUUAUUGGGCGUAAAGGGCUCGUAGGCGGUUUGUCGCGUCGGGCGUGAAAUCCACUGGCUUAACUGGUGGCUUGCUUUCGAUACGGGCAGACUGGAGGUAUGCAGGGGAGAACGGAAUUCCUGGUGUAGCGGUGAAAUGCGCAGAUAUCAGGAGGAACACCGGUGGCGAAGGCGGUUGCCUGGGGCUUUGCUGACGCUGAUGCGCGAAAGCGUGGGGAGCGAUCCGG